rnacentral:rRNA from 1 species
UACGUAGGGUGCGAGCGUUAAUCGGAAUUACUGGGCGUAAAGCGUGCGCAGGCGGUUUUGUAAGCCAGAUGUGAAAUCCCCGGGCUUAACCUGGGAAUGGCAUUUGGGACUGCAAGGCUGGAGUGUGGCAGAGGAGACUGGAAUUCCUGGUGUAGCAGUGAAAUGCGUAGAUAUCGGGAGGAACACCAGUGGCGAAGGCGACUUCCUGGCCUGUUCUUGACGCUGAGGCGCGAAAGCUAGGGGAGCAAACGGG